CAGCAGGUAAAUGGCAAGGGGGGCAGCAAGCUGGCAUGAAUAGCCUUAAUGCACAGAAAUGGGCAGGGGGAGGGCAAACGGGUACAACAGACAGCAGGUAAAUGGCAAAGUGGGGCAGCAAGCUGGCAUGAAUAGCCUCAAUGCACAGAAAUGGGCAGGGGGAGGGCAAACGGGUACAACAGACAGCAGGUAAAUGGCAAAGUGGGGCAGCAAGCUGGCAUGAAUAGCCUCAAUGCACAGAAAUGAGCAGGGGGAGGGCAAACGGGUACAACAGACAGCAGGUAAAUGGCAAGGGGGGCAGCAAGCUGGCAUGAAUAGCCUUAAUGCACAGAAAUGGGCAGGGGGAGGGCAAACGGGUACAACAGACAGCAGGUAAAUGGCAAAGUGGGUGGAACAGACUGUGGGUACAUAAGGGCACAGAUAUGGGCAGGAAGAGACACAUGAUGACGGGUGGGCACCCAUGAGUUAGUGCUCACACACACGGGGGCAGGAGGGGGGGGAGGGUGCCAAUGUGGCACUAGGAUUGUUACUAACCUGCCCUUUCCCAUCUGUCGCCUUCUUCUUCUUUUUCUUCUUCAGUUUGAUGGGCGCCGGUUUCUUCUGGUGUGCGAGUGGGGGGGGGGGG